AACGCACCUUGUGCCCUCUGGUAUUCCGGAGGGCAUGCCUGUUUGAGUGUCAUGUAGACUCAACCGCGUCGGGUUUCCGACUGGGUUGGACUUGGGCGUUGCCGGAGACGGCUCGCCUCAAAUGAGUUAGCGGACGAACCGACCGAAAACGACGUGAUAAGUACUCGUCGCCAUUAGGCCGUGGGAGACCGCUCAUAACCGCCCUCGGGCACCUUUUGACUCUGACCUCAAAUCAGGUAGGACUACCCGCCGAACUUAA
rnacentral:misc_RNA from 1 species